AUUUGGCUGUUUUCUCCUGACAUUUACUCUUUUUUCUAAAACAAAAUGAUACACUUUGAAUUCUCCAAAUUCUUAAACAAAUCAAAUGGAACAGAGAAAACCAGAAUCAAACUUAGGGAUCGUUUCUUAUUUUAAGUAAAGUGAUGAUUCUUCUUCUUCAACCCUUUUUGAUGGACUUGUUUCCUUUACUUUGUUUAUCACGUCUUCCUUCUCCUUCAUCUUCCCCCUUUCACUACUCUUUACUCUUUCCCUCUCAAUUAGGGUUCGGGAUAGGGUUUAAUCUGUAAAGGGCCAAAUGGAUUUCAACGAAUUAGAAGCAAUAGAAGGAUUAAGAUGGUCUUGGAAUUCAUGGCCAGCAUCAAAAUCAGAAGUAUCAGCACUGGUAAUUCCUUUAAGUAUAUUAUAUACUCCACUGAUGAAAUAUACUGAUCUCCCUUUACUUUCUUAUGAUCCAUUAAUUUGUAAUCGAUGCGGUGCUGUAUUAAAUCCUUAUGCUCGUGUUGAUUAUCAAUCUAGAAUUUGGGUUUGUCCGUUUUGUUAUCAGAGAAAUCCAUUUCCUAUAGGUUAUGCUGGAAUUGGUGAAAAUAAUAUACCUGCUGAACUUUUCCCUACUUAUACUACUGUUGAAUACCAACAACAAGGAAGAAAAACCUCAAAUGUGAGUUCAGUUGUUAAUUCGAGUCCGAGUUGGGGCAGAACAAAUUCGUUCCAAUCUGUAGUUUCUUCUCCAAUGACGUCUACUUUUUCUUCUUCCUCUUCGUUGAAUUGUUUGGAUGUAAAGGGAAAUGGUCCUGGGAUUGUGUUUGCCGUUGAUACUUGUUCACCUGAAGAUGAAUUACAAGCACUUAAAAAUGAAUUAUUACUUGUUAUUGCACAAUUACCGGAGAACACGCUUGUUGGGUUGGUGACAUUUGGUUCGAUGGUGGCUGUUCAUGACUUGGGGUUUAUGGAGUGUUCUAAGGUUGUUCUUUUCCACGGUGAACGUGCACUCUCGUCGGAUCAGGUCCAGGAGUUUUUGGGUAUUUGUCGGCCAAAGCACCACAUACAUGGGAAGACAUCAGUUAUGCAUAAGCAGGGUUUUCUACUUCCAAUAUCUGAGUGUGAAUUUAACAUUACAACCGCAACCGAAGAGAUUCGAUCAUCAUUUCAGUCCGUGUCUGGUCAGCGCCCUCAAAGGUCCACAGGAGUUGCUAUAUCAAUUUCCAUUGGACUUCUAGAAGGAUGCAUCACAAAUACAGGAUCUCGCAUCAUGGUUUUCACAUCUGGUCCUGCAACCAUGGGACCGGGGAUAGUUGUGGAUACGGAUCGAAGUAAAUCCAUUAGGACCCACCGUGAUCUAAUUAGUGGCCAAGCUCCACAUUACGGCAAGUCGUGCAACUUCUACAAGCAAUUGGCAGUGAGAUUAUGUGAAGCGUCCAUUGUUCUUGAUUUGUUUGCUUGUUCUCUAGAUCAGGUUGGUGUGGCCGAGCUUAAAGUGACAAUAGAGAACUCUGGUGGCUUCUUGAUGCUUGGGGAAUCAUUUGAGUCCGACCAGUUCAGAAAAUGUUUAAGGCACAUUUUUGAACAAGACGCUGAUGGCAAUCUAAAGAUGUACUUUGAUGCAACAGUUGAGAUAGUGAUGACAAAGGAGGUACAGAUAUGUGGGGCAUUUGGCCCUUGUGUAUCUCUGAAGAGAAAGAGUAGUUCAGUCAGUGAGAAUGAAAUGGGUCAGGGUGGUACCUGCUGUUGGAAGUUGUGUACACUCACAAAUAAGACAUGUAUAGCUUUCUUAUUUGAAUUGGGUAAUGAACAGAGCAUUCAACCAGGGUCUGCAUUUCUUGUACAGCUCAUUACACGGUAUAGAUAUGGGAGUGGUGGAAUUCGGCAAAGGGUGACAACUGCCGCAAGAAGAUGGGUUGGACCACGUUCCCAGGAAAUUCCUGCUGGAUUUGAUCAAGAAGCCGCUGCAUCUGUCAUGGCCAGACUUGCUAUCCACCGAGCUGAACGGUGUUUUGCGAGAGAUGUCAUCAGAUGGGUAGAUAAUAUGCUGAUCAAGUUUGCUUCUAAAUUUGGUGAUUACGUGCCGGAAGAUCCAUCUUCUUUUCGUCUCGCGCCGAAUUUCUCCCUUUUCCCACAGUUCAUGUAUUAUUUGAGGAGGUCGCAGUUCAUCGACGUUUUUAAUAGCAGUCCUGAUGAGACUGCAUUCUUUCGCUUGAUGCUGAAUCAAGAAGGGGUAGCUGGUUCUCUGAUCAUGAUUCAACCUACCCUUUUUCAGUAUUCAUUCGACGGUCCUCCCGUUCCUGUUCUUCUCGACAUUAGCUCUAUCUCUCCAGAUGUUAUUUUGCUGUUCGAUUCUUACUUUUGUGUGGUGAUUCACUAUGGAUCUAAAAUUGCACAGUGGAAGAAGCUAGGAUAUGAUAAGGAUCCAAAUCAUGAGAGCUUUCGGAAGCUUCUAGAGGCCCCAGAGAUAGAUGCUGAACAACUGGUGGCCGAACGAGUUCCAUUGCCGAAGCUUGUGAAAUGUGAUCAGCACGGUAGCCAAGCAAGAUUUCUGCUAGCUAAGCUAAACCCAUCUAUUACUCAGAAUUCAACUCAUACAGAAGGGUCUGAAAUUAUAUUCACGGAUGAUGUGAGUUUACAAACAUUUAUAGAGCAUUUGCAAGAAUUAGCAGUACAGGGCUAAAGGGUUGUUUGUAUUGUACAAAGGGUUGUUCUUCAAAUUUUUCCAUUCCCUCCGUGAGAUUGCUGUACAAUUAUUUCUGAGAGCGAAGAAGGGCGGAACUAGGUAAUGAUCCUUCAAGAAAUCAGAAGCCUUGUUCACCAAUGCCGGAUCUCUUCCACUUGAUAGUACAAAUUUAUGCCCCUUUCCAUGGUACCUAAACAUUUACCACAAUUGAAAA